rnacentral:rRNA from 1 species
UACGAAGGGGGCUAGCGUUGUUCGGAAUUACUGGGCGUAAAGCGUGCGUAGGCGGUUCGUCAAGUCUGAUGUGAAAGCCCCGGGCUCAACCUGGGAACUGCAUUGGAAACUAGCGAGCUUGAGUGUGGCAGAGGGGGGUGGAAUUCCACGUGUAGCAGUGAAAUGCGUAGAGAUGUGGAGGAACACCGAUGGCGAAGGCAGCCCCCUGGGCUAACACUGACGCUCAGGCACGAAAGCGUGGGGAGCAAACAGG